AUUGAACGCUGGCGGCAGGCCUAACACAUGCAAGUCGAACGAGUGGCGGACGGGUGAGUAAUGUCUGGGGAACUGCCCGAUGGAGGGGGAUAACUACUGGAAACGGUAGCUAAUACCGCAUACCAUCGGAUGUUCCCAGAUGGGAUUAGCUAGUAGGUGGGGUAAAGGCUCACCUAGGCGACGAUCCCUAGCUGGGCUGAGAGGAUGACCAGCCACACUGGAACUGAGACACGGUCCAGACUCCUACGGGAGGUAGCAGUGGGGAAUAUUGCACAAGGGGCGAAAGCCUGAUGCGGCCAUGCCGCGUGUAUGAGGAAGGCCUUAGGGUUGUAAAGUACUUUCAGCGAGGAGGCGUUACCCGCAGAAGAAGCACCGGCUAACUCCGUGCCAGCAGCCGCGGUAAUUC
rnacentral:rRNA from 1 species